UUUUGAAGUCACCCCCGGGGGGCGGAAUUCAGAAAAGAGAAAAGUCAUCGUUCUCCUCUCCCCAACGGCUGCAAGAGAGCUGCAGCGGGCAGCUGACGCUACUUCUCGAAAGCAGCAAUGCAAAUUACUAGAAUGUCCUGACACCUUCUUCAAAUACCCUCGAGAAGCAACAGGAAGAGGAGGUAAUAAAAUGAUACUCCCAGUGGUGAAAUUGGGAUCGCUGGUCCUCAAAACCCUAAGCAAGCCCAUCGCUUCCAGGCUCAAGCAACAGGCUGGCCACCAACCCAGGUUCCGACAACUCAUCAUCAAUCUAGCCCAGGCAAACCAUCGAUUCACAACGACCAUGCAAAGACGCAUUUACGGUCAUGCAACUAAUGUUGAGAUCCGCCCUUUGGAUGCGGAGAAAGCUGUCCAAGCUGCUACAGAUCUUAUUGGGGAACUUUUUGUCUUCUCGGUUGCAGGAGUUCUUGUGAUCUUUGAGGUUCAAAGAAGUGCUAGGUCAGAAGCUAGAAAGGAGGAACUACGCAAGCAGGAAUUGGAGACGGAGGGAGAUUAUUUUGGACCUAGCAUGCCAGAGCCCAAUGGCCGGUUCCAAGGAAAGGAAUUGACCCGGAGAUUCUGAAAUUGCGGAGGCUUGGUUCAAUCAAGCUGCUGAAUAUUGGAAACAAGCUAUGCAAGGCAAUGCGACAAAAAAAUGAAGAUUUAGCAAGAGAAGUAGACUUUCUUAAACAUAAGUUUGGGGAGCUAGAGCACUUGGCCACCAAAGGACGAGGCCUUGCAAGCAUACUCAACUUCGGGCAUGCCCCUGCAACUGAA